GCGCUGCUGACAUGAAUUUUUUGAAAGAAUGACAACGAAUAAACAAAUGAAUGACAGCUCGCCUGCACAGCUCACCAAGCCUCCACUCUGGAGCCCCAUCUGGUCACAGGCCCGCCUACCUGGCAUUGUCUUUUUUGUAUUUACCUCUCUCGAGAACUUGGCCGAGAGGUGAUGUCCGACUGAGGACAGGGGUCGAGGAUUUGAUUCUAAAUCGCAGCUAAGGAAGAGCUAUUACCAUCUUCUCCUCUACUUGGCUUUACAGUUCAGAUACCAGGCGAAUGACAGAUGGUGAGCCGGGAAGGGAGAGUCAAUUUUAGAGAACGUAGAACUCAGUGUUUAAAAUAGAAUCCUACAGUCUUUGAGGUGGAGAGGGCCGCAGACUUGGGCUGGGCUUGAAACAGCGAGACGAUUGCAAAUGGGCCGCAUGGCCCUGGCCGUUACCAGCCCCCGUGACAUAGGCCGGCCUGGGUGUCCUCUUGGUCAAGCUCCACAGAUAAGCAGGGCACUACGAAAUGCCUCUGCUGAGGAGGAGAAGAGCUACUGUUGGCAGCAAGGGCACAGAGGAGAGGCCCAGGAACCCUCAGACAGGCACUCGAGAUGAGCUGUCCUCUCCAGGCUCGCUCCAGAGCGCUCCAGUGAUCCCCGACAUUGACUUCCAUGAAACAGAUGCUUAAAAUCACUCGUACACACUGGCGUGUUUGAAGAGCUUUCACUUGCCCUCCCCCGCAAACUGGGCCAAACCUAAAAAAGGCCAGCUUGGGGUCAUGAAAUCAACUGAGCAGACCACAAGCGGAAUUUGAACUUGACACAGAACAGAAUGGAAUAGAGAAUAUCGCAGUGUGUUGCACACGGCAAAGGGAGGCAGCCUGUUCACAGUAAUCCUGCAGGGAAGGAGCCGGAGGGAUGAACAUCUCAGCCUCACUGUCCUCUCUGUUUCUCAUCUCCUGCCAACGAACGCGCUGGCCUACCAGGCCCAGGGUGCCAUGACGCAGUCCACAUGGGAAAGCAGGGUGACGGGGGCGGAGAGUGACUAUGGAGUUCAGACAGAGCAUGACCCGUGCAAACAAAAUCUCUGCCCUCCAGGAACUUAUAUUCCAUGGAUGGCCAGGUAUGUAAUCCAAAAAACCCACAGGUACCCCCAUGCUGGCAGAGAGGUAUUAACGAGGACUUCUGGAAGCACCUGCCAAGAAGCACUUGCCUCUCCGCGUAGGGUUAGGGAAGGCUCGCCAGGGAGAAGACACUCUUUCUGCCCAACACCCUUCCUUGGGAACCACCCUCUCUGUUUCCCUCCCUGCAGAAAGGGUCCUGGUUGGUCCCGGACAUGGUGCUCCGCCCCUCUGCUGCAGGGACCAAUCAGAGUGAGUCUUUAAUCCCCUGGCCACAGUGAUUGGCUCAGGGAAGGGCCAAAGUUCAGCCCACGGACUCUUACGUGAGAAUCUCCAGCUAAGGACCAAACUGUCUCUUGCCUCUGAAUUCCGGUUGCUGGGAGGUUGUGAAAUUAGAACUGUCGGGUGCCAUCUCUCCCCUUUCCCCAGUAAGUGUAAAUAUCCAACCUAGGGGGGAACUGGAGGCAAGGCAGAGACUCAUUUUACGGGAAAUAGUUUAUGUUCCGGGUUACUGUAUGUUCGGGCAUAUACUGCAUACAUGAUCACUUCUCCUUUUUAGUUGGAGUUGAGCUUCUGUCCCGGCUCAACAUGCAAAGAAAACCGCCUGUGCAAAAGUGUGGAGGGGAGAAAGCGGAUGGCAUAUUGAGGGACCGGCUGGGUUUGUGGUCUGGUGCUGGCGAAGUGGGCAGAAAUUGGAUAAGGCUCUAACAGUGGGUUUGGGUCAGAUGCCGAAUGUAUGAGCAUUCAUGAAGGGGGUUAAGCAGGAAGUGACACGAACAGAUGUGCAUUUUAGAAAGCUCACCCUGAGAGCCAUGUAGAGGACAGGUGGAGGUGAGCAGGCCUGGGAGGAAGGGGGCUACGGCAGAGCCUGGGGCGACCUGGUGGGCGUGCAGAGCUCAGCUGGGGACACGCGGGAAGGAGGGCAAUGCUGGGAUGCAGGAGGGAUUGAGGGGAGUGAAAGAGUCUAGAAUUCGUACCAAAGUGCCAGUUUGGGUGAGAAGGUGGAUGACAACAUAAAUGGGAUGUUACUUCCCACAUCUCACAACUUGGAGGGACUUCUCCUUCCUCAACAUUUCCUGAACGCAUUCUGGGUUUGCCCAUCGCAUAUGUAAGACAUGGGGGCCCAGAAUAGGACGUAUUACUCCAGAUGUGGUUUGACCAGUGGAGGACUUGGGCCAUGACACAUUUUCAUGAAUGGAGCCCAUCCAUCCAGAGGUUCUUCCUCGAAAUCAUUUCACUACGAUGACUCGUGAAACACAUCGCUGUCUAAAACCCCUAAGUCGUCUUUAACACAGGUUCCAGAUCACUUUUGUCAUGCGGUGGUGAAUAUUUUUUCAAGUGAAUAAUUCUUUUACCCUAUCUGAAAGGCAAGCCUAUGGCAUUAAGUUUAGCACGCCUUCCCUGCCUCUGAAAACCGCACCUCUCCAAUUCUUUUCCUCUGAUCGAAUUCAACCGGCAAGCAUGAAGCGAAGAGUCUGGAACGGGUACUAUGGGGAACGCGUGAAAAGGACAUGUUCUCCCGUUUCCAAGAAGCUUAGAAUCCAAUUAUAUGUCUAUAAUGAGGUAUACGUAUAAUUAUUAAAAGUCCUUGGAAGUCUCUAGUUGUGAAACAUUGGCGUGGCGUGCUCGCUAUGAUUUUGAAGGGCCCGGGAACAUCCACCAUGAGGUUCAUCGCAACGUCUUCCCGGGCUGGCAGGUCUGAAUGCUUUCACCGUGUCAGCCUCUGAUUGCCUGUUGUCAUCUGUCCACAUCGCAGAUGAUUCAGAUUUGUCACUGGCACUUCACCUGUGUGGCCUUUGCCCUCGAAUAUGUCCCCUGAGUCUAUUCAUUAUGGGUUGGUACCAUUCUCUGGCUUCUCUUUUCUGGGGUUGAUCUUUUGUUUAUUUCCGCAGAUCUCACCAACUUCUACAGAUGCGCCUUACAAGGGGUGGUAACAGAAAGCAGGUUUCUCGGUAUGCCUUUUCCGGGUGUUAUGUAAACCCUCUUAAACUCACAAUUGCCCCCUCCUGUUCAGGCAACUCCCGCCUACCUCGGUACUCAUCACCUGAGCAUACGUUCCUCAGCGAGUCUUGCUGGAACCACUACGCCAUCAACCUCUUUCCAGUUCUCCUGGAUCACCUUUUUAUUCAAUCCCAGGAGCCAGGCCGUGGGCUGUGCU